GGAAAUUUCAAAAUCCCACGAAAAGGACGGGACGGGAAAGGCUUCAUUUUCCAGGGAGAUUUAGUUAUUUGUUUCUGAUUAGGUGAAGUACGCGUUCUUUUAUCCUUUGUUAUUUUUACCCAUGUGAUGACUGGAGAGCUUUCUUUGUUACAAUGUUUCAGAGCAAAUAAAACUAAUUUACUAGAAUAUGAAAUAAGCCAGAAAGGAACUGUACCUGAUGGUCACAGACGUGGAGAUCCCUUAACUGGCCAGAGUUUCCAGGCCCCGUGCGUGUCUGGGAAACAGAAAGAGCUCCUGCUCUGAAGGAUUUGCGCAACACAGGUUGUUCUAAUCACUGAGAGGGAAAUGGAGGCCUCUCUGAGCAAAUCCAGUGGGUAAGCCACCACGCAAACACUGAUGACACCCAGAAUUGUCCUACGUCUCCUGGGAAACCACCACAGCAUCUCUGUUCUAAAUUGUCCACUGAUCCCACUGGUUGUUUACCUUGGAAGAACCACAUCAAAGAAAAAAAGGGACAUCAUGAACCAUACUGAUCCAUUCAGGAACAAAUUUCAGGCAGUUUGUGUAUCCUAUUUAGUCUGGAUAAAAGAAGACCACAUAGCAACCAAGACCCUUCUAGAUUUGCCUUGCCUUUUUCCUGGCUUCAUCUCCCUUCACUUUACUACAAUGGCUUUCCUUCCAUCCUUCCACUCCACAAGAACAGGGAGUCUGUUCAGCUCAUCACUGCAUAACCCAUGCCUGGCAUUUUGGAUGACCUCAAAAAAAGAUCUGUUGACUAUAUCAGAUCCUCCCAGAAGAAGAUGUCCUAACUUCAGUGCAACAAAAACCUGAGCGAUAACAUCAGAUUUUGCCAGAAUGGAGUUACAUCCUGGCUCUCAUACAGAAACCCAGGCCUCCGACAGUGAGCACACUAUUAUGCCACAUUCUUUCAACAACUCCAGAAUGGAGGAAAACAAUGACAUGGGUAAUUUAAAAUAACAGAGGAUUUCAAAAAAAAAAAAAAAUCUUUUGUGUCUGAAGCUUUGAAUUAAUUAUAUGAUUAUUAU
ensembl:lncRNA